UGGUGGUCUGUACCUACCUGAUGCCUUCCAAAGGUAGAUCUUACAGUCUGUUGUCUUAUGGACUUCUGGAGGACUCAGGCUAAUGUUGCACUCUACCAACUGGCUCAGCAGUUGUCAGCUGAUCUGCAAAUGGGCUCUGGCAGGAAGAGCCCCCUGAGGGGUACUAUCACACCGAUGCCCAGAUGUGUUAUGAAGAUUGUUUUUGCAGCUUUCUCUCAAGCAUCUGAUAGCAGCCACUGUCAAGGUUGAGAAGCUUUCCUGGAAGCUGUGCUGCUGAACUGAGUGCUUGCAAACCCUCACCAGACAGCUGACAGAGCAUAGAUGGUAACUGUCCUCCUGGCUCCUACACAUCUCUAUGAGCCACACAGAACUCAGUUGUCAGAUAACUUCCCAGGCAAAAAGAGGCAAGAAGAGGUGAGCAGCAGCAGCAGAGCUGCUGGUGUGUGAGGGGAGCAGGAGAGCUCCUGCACAGGAGUGACCACUCGUGUGAGAAAGAGAGAAAAGGAUAAAGCACAUCCAUUUGGCUGGGAAAAAGAGGGGAUCCUGCUGGCUUGAGAAAACUGCCCCCCUAAGCUGGAUGAGUGAACACCUAGAAAAAAAUGUCAGCUUACUGAUCAUAAUAGGGGCUGAAAUUUAUUAUGUGCUGCAUAGCCUAACGGUGUCUGUUAAAUCUGCAGACAAAGCACUUGCUGAGAUUGUGGGAAAUCUACACAAUCACCUAUCCUGGGGGUCACUGGCGAUGAUAGAGCAUUUCUGUUUUUAUAAAGAGAACGUGAAAGAAAAUGAACAUUUCUG